CCGGGUUGCGGACAGUGUCUGGUGGGUAGUUUGACUGGGGCGGUCUCCUCCUAAAGAGUAACGGAGGAGCACGAAGGUUGGCUAAUCCUGGUCGGACAUCAGGAGGUUAGUGCAAUGGCAUAAGCCAGCUUGACUGCGAGCGUGACGGCGCGAGCAGGUGCGAAAGCAGGUCAUAGUGAUCCGGUGGUUCUGAAUGGAAGGGCCAUCGCUCAACGGAUAAAAGGUACUCCGGGGAUAACAGGCUGAUACCGCCCAAGAGUUCAUAUCGACGGCGGUGUUUGGCACCUCGAUGUCGGCUCAUCACAUCCUGGGGCUGAAGUAGGUCCCAAGGGUAUGGCUGUUCGCCAUUUAAAGUGGUA
rnacentral:rRNA from 1 species